AACGAACGCUGGCGGCAGGCCUAACACAUGCAAGUCGAGCGAGGACUUCGGUCCUAGCGGCGGACGGGUGAGUAACGCGUGGGAACGUGCCCCUUGGUACGGAAUAGCCCCGGGAAACUGGGAGUAAUACCGUAUGAGCUCUACGGAGGAAAGAUUUAUCGCCAAGGGAUCGGCCCGCGUUGGAUUAGGUAGUUGGUGGGGUAAUGGCCUACCAAGCCGACGAUCCAUAGCUGGUUUGAGAGGAUGAUCAGCCACACUGGGACUGAGACACGGCCCAGACUCCUACGGGAGGCAGCAGUGGGGAAUCUUAGACAAUGGGCGCAAGCCUGAUCUAGCCAUGCCGCGUGAGCGAUGAAGGCCUUAGGGUUGUAAAGCUCUUUCAGUAGGGAAGAUAAUGACGGUACCUACAGAAGAAGCCCCGGCUAACUUCGUGCCAGCCGCCGCAGUAACAC
rnacentral:rRNA from 1 species